UAAAUCUGCAUCCAGCUGAGUGGCUGCCUGGCUUUAAUGAGCUGAUUUGUAAUCCCCAGCACUGCACUGCGGUAGCGUUUUUGGGAAGAAAGCUGAGCUCAGACGCCAGCCAAGCCAAGCCAGAGCAAGAGGGAAGAAAGAGACAGAGAAAAAGAGAGGAAAGGAGAUGAAGAAAGAGAGAGAUAAUCAUAGAGUUGGAAGAGACUACAUGGAUCAACCAAUUCCACCCCCUGCCAUGCAGGAAAAACACAAUCAAAGCACUCCUGGCAGAUGGCCCUUCUCAGUGAUAUUAACAGACAGGAGGACAGAUGGAUAAUCCAGAAAUGAGUGGGACUGUAGCUGACACAUGCAGAGCUGCCCUUCAGCUAAGGACUACAGAGACCGUGCCAACAAUUUGUGAGGCAUCAGGCAUUUGCUCAGAGAACCAAAGCAGCCCCAGCAAAUCCCAGGAAGAGGAAGACAGAGUGGAAGAUGCGGCAGGUUUAAUGCUUUGCACAGCACAACUGCUGCUCCCUGUUGGAUUUCAAAUCUCAGCCGAGCUGUUUAUGCCUUAAUAGUGGCAAUAUUUUACUCAGGAAAUAUGCAAGCGGGUCUCUCUCAUGCAAGAAGAGCCAAUUCAGCCUUGGCACUGGGUUUUAUUUGAAGUUAUAAGCCUGCAUUGAGGUUGCAGGGUUGGGCGUGGGUUAGGGACGCUUUCAAGAUCAAUGUCCUAAAGAAGGAAAAUAAAUCUACAUCCAGUAAAUCUUCCAAUGACUUUGUCCAUUCUGUGUCCAUAAGACUAUUACAAAAGAACAUGCUUGCUUAUCUUUCUGUUUUCCAUCACUGAUGAUACAGAUGUGACCUGGUCUCCCUGUCUCAUUGUUCUUUUUCUGAAUAAUAUACAAAUAAAUGCUCACAACUCAGAAAUGUGUUCCAGUGGGUGGCCUUCCAUGAUAACGUUUCAUUCUUGGGGAAAAUGUGUCCAUCAACAUGUAGCUUGUGAGAAAUUUGUAAAAUAAAGCAUACUGUAUAUACGGGAGAGCAAGUACCUGAAACAUCAAUUCCCUGUCUAACAACCUGAUACAGAACAGGUACAAGAUGAAAAAGCAGGAUGAAUUCAGAGAAAGUCAAUACAACUCAGACUGGGAACCUUAUCACCCAAGGCAGAUCAAAAAGCACAAUAGCUCCAAUAUAA